AGAGAGAGAGAGAGAGAGAGUCGUGUUCUUUGAGAACCAUGUAGGAUCGCACUGUGUCAAGCAUUCUUUAUUUGUUUCGCUCGCAAAUUGCUUCCUCGCCAAUGCUCCCAAAUGCCCGGAUUUCUCUGCCAUUGCUCCUGCUGCUACUGCUCCUGGAAGGAAGCCAAAGAUCUCCUGGCGGCGGCGAUGGAGGAAUCCUGGCGGCGCACUCCCUGGACUUGUGGACGAUCCGAGGUAAGCUGUCCGAGGUGACCAAGACCCUCGCGGCCAUCACGCAGCUCAGCCGCAACCUCCAGCAGUCCUCUACAUGGUGGCAGCUCUCAAACGUGGACUGGCACCCGGAGGCGCUGUGGCGAUUCCUGCUGCUCGGCCCCCCUGCCGCCGGGAUCCUGCCAAACUCCUCCUGGGGCCCCGACCAAGAGCUCGAGCUCCUGCGACGAGGCGGCCUGGCCGCGACCCGAGAAGCCGCGGUGGCCGAGUACACCACCGAGACUGGCCGCCCCGGGACCGGGAGGAUCCGGAUGACAACUUGGGUGCUCAUGUACAACUGCAUCACUCCGGACUGCGACAUCGUCGCGCCGGUGAUCCUCCUGCAAGGUGCUGGUGGCGAUGGUCAGUCGCCCACCAAGCUCAACUACGGUACCUUGUGGCAGCAGUUGUUCUUCGCUGUCUCCUCCUCUGUGGCUCCAGUCUUGCUCAGCAGCAGCACCUCGGACAUCAUCAACAGGACCCGGCUCGUCGCCACGAACCGGUCAAACCUGCAGCUCCGGGUGGUGCGCGAAGGCCUGGAGCAGUGCAACGAAGGCAUCGCCAUCGGACGAUCACCCCUGGACGCGGCCUACAAAGUUCCUCCGGGGAUCUGCUACGAGCUCGUCCAGAGCCUCAAGGAGGGGCUCAACCAGACGCGGAUGCUGGUGGUGCUCCAGAACCAGCCGCACGAGAUCACCUGGCCUUAUACCCGGCGUCCACUCCACGAGUGCUCCACCGCGCCGGUUCUCACCAAGAACCUCGAGGAGUUCCGCGGCUGCGCCUUCUCCGCCACCGAGAGGCGCUACUAUUGCACCAACUUCACGAUGAAGGACUACGCCGACACCCCCUGCCGUGGGAACAAGAUCGCCAUCGCCCUCUCCAACUUCCAGCUGGCCUACAGCUACCUCCAUGGCCGGACCUCCACCAAAAACUUAACGGACUCGUUCGAGCUCGUGAACGAUACCGCGCCUGGAGCUCCAUGCAACACCAGCGGCCGGACGAAGGCCGCCAUCUACAGCGUCCAUCACAACGGCUUCGAUCUCUCGAACAGCAUCUGGGAGGACACGAGCGGUUCCCGGACGGAGGAGCUCGAGCUGGGACGUCCGGACGGGAGCUUCUGCUUCUACGGCCUCGGCUCGGACGUGGCGGAGAAGAGUCUGUCGUAUCUCCGGCGCUGCAACAUCACCAUCGCCUUGAACACCAGCGUUCCCAGGUGUGAUAUCACUGCUCUCGACAUCGAUCUCCUCAACGUGAUGUUCAAUGACACGGUCACGGCCUACGCGGACGAGCACAACACCGCCUUCAACAUGGACCGGGGGCCCUCCACGGAUCUCUUCACGGCCUGGGCGGCGCUCGUCACCGCUGCGGUCUCGGUGGUGACCGCCACCGUGCCAUGCACCAACCUGGAGCUCGAGUACCUGGCCCGCUUCGUCUACCCGAAGAAGCACGAGAACCUCAAGGUCCUCAAGUUCUCGGGGCUGGCCGCCAUGAACGUCGCGUUUGGGAUGAUCCUGUACGCCCCCAUCUUCGCCAUGAUCCUGAGCGAGUCCAAGCGCUCGGAGUCGUACCACACCUGGUCGCUCUUCACCAACGAUGUCAAGGUGAACACCUUCGGCACCCAGCUCCGCAGCGUCUUCAUCGUCGAGGGCGAGUCCAUCUACAAGUCCCAGAUACUGUGGAUCUUCGUCGUCGUCUGCGCUAUCUCGUUCCCUCUCAUCGUGAUCAUCACGCUCCGCCGCUGCUACAAGGUGUUCUACCGCCGGAAGCUGCUGCUGGACGAGCGUCGCAUGACGUAUGGAGAUGACAAAACGAUGAGCAACGCCGAGGGCAGGGAGCUGAGCAUCAAAGCCAUCGAGAUGGGCCUGUCCGAGUUCGUGAGACUUAAGGAGCAGCUCAAACCAAGCAACCGGCAGAAGGACUUUUAAAAUCCAACACAUACCCUUUAAAACCGCGGAGGCAAAAUCUUUUCUAGGCCAACACCGGUGUUGGCAAGUCACGCAAAGGGAAGCCAGUCACCACUAUUUCUUGCCGUGGAAGCUGAUACGAUAUGCCAAGAUCCUCCAUUUGUUGCCGCAUGUAUAGAAGCAUAUUGCUGCGCCUUUGGAAUCGCUCGCCACCUUCCUGGAGUGAUAGAAAAGAGUUUGCUUAGAGAAAGAGAGAGGACAAAAGUAAAACCGGGAUAGAGGACCUGGAAGUUGAGGUGAUGCUGCAUCCAAAGUGCCAUCCUCAUCCUGUUGCUGUUCUCGAUGUCUUUGCAGACGAUCCGAAAGUCAGGAUACCAAAACUGAGGAAGGCUUUCGAUGUAGCGUUGCAUCCUGUCCUUCAGGAAACCGAGCUUCUCAACCGGAGUGUUGGCGCUAACUUGGAACUCGAUCGCAUCCCACUGGUCAGGGCUGCGAUGGAAGUUUGACAGCGGCUUGGAUGCGAGAACCGAGGUCGGGUAGUAAAUCUUCUCGUUCGAGCCUCUGCGGCGAAAAGCAGAAGCAAAAUUCAAUCACACUUCAAGGAUAAAGCGACAGAAUACGUACGUGAGAAAAAUUGUGUUGAGCACAUUCAUUUCCUGCAAAAACUUUUUCUUUUCGUAAAAUGUUAAGAAAAGAAGUUGGAAAACGAAUACCUCGACCAACAAAGUCUGGCCAUCGACACAUACUCGAUCUCCAACGUCGUAAGGAUGCACAAUAAACAGAAAUAUCAACGCUUCGAACGUCCCCUUCGCCAUGUUGCCGAAAACAAAAACAGAAGGUAUGAAAAUGGAGGAGAAGAACACCAGCAGCUUGGAGGUGUCUACUCCGAGAAUAAGUAACCAAAUUAUAAAAAGCACCACCACCAACACCUGCAAAGAUAAAGAAGAAAACGUUAGAACAAAUGGAGAAGAAGAAAGAAGAAUCGAUCGACUUACAAAAUCAAAAACUCGAUGGAGCUUUGCAACAACGGUUUUGUUGUCACUCAAAGUGAGCGCAAGAGCCCUACGCUCCUUGUAGACACUGACGACCCAUUUCACGAGCGCCUUUUUGGAAAUAUGCCCCUGGUCUGUGAUCUCGAAAAGAGAAAAGGCCCUUGCUGCCUGUUCCUCUGGCAGAAAAUACAAGAAGUCCCUGAGUGUCAGGUACUUUUGCCCAGGCCUCGCCAUGUUAAAAAAAAUCUGCCACGAAAACAUUUCAGAAAAAUUGAGUUUCAAUUGUAAGAUACCUUUUUGGCGGCCGACCUUGCCUCAAUCUCGCUGUCGAUUUCGGUUUCCCCGUUUUGGGAGAGCAUGGACGAGUAAGUCGUCAUGUUUUUGCUUCGGAUCGUCUUCAUUAGCCUUCGGAGUGUCCAAGCGGACACCGUCUGUGAGAAACAAAGUUUAGCCAAACAAGAAAACAUGAAAAUCGUUUUAGCUUACUUGUGAUGUCAACUGCUGCAACCUGUUCUGCUCUAUCGGAACGGGACUCUUCGCGAUCAGAGGAACAGGCGUUUCUGGCUUCUUUUUAGGCGUGCCUGAAAAAAAUGAGAGACCGAGCCUCCUUUUCGCCGACUUGGAGGGUGUUUGUACGGGGUUUUCGACAUCUCCUUUAGCGAAAGCCCACUGAGAAGGGCUCGCAGAAUCCUGCUCAUGCGGCUGGCAAGAAAAAUCAGCUAUAAAAUGAAAACUCAAACUCAUCAAGAAAAAACCAACAGACAAAUGAAAAACUUUGACAAGCAACAUCGGAGAAAAAAGGGAAAACUUACCACUGCUGGAGGCCUUGCGGGAUUUGAAGAGUCAAGCAAACAACCAUGCGCUGGGGGAGCUGAAAGUGUUUCCAGGAGAUACUGGCUGAAAAUGCAGUCCUGUAUUCUCUCAAAAUACGCCGAUCUGUGAAAACUAUUUGCUGCAACCUUCAAGAUCAGCACCUUCAACAUCCAUGAAAUAGAGCCAGUGAGCAAACACCACAGCACCUGCAUGAUCACACCAAACAGGCUAUGUCCUGGUGAUUACAGAAAGAAAAACUUGGAAAUCUUACCUUCGUAACGAUCCUCACGGUUUUCGUAUCCUCUCGUCCGUUGAAAAUCACUUCCCAGACCCCGAGAGUCAGGCCAAUCCAGAUGCAAUUCUUCACAGCCUUCCGCAAGCCGUAUACGAAGUAGAGCACUCGUUUCUUGAAGAGAAAACGCCUCUCUAUCAGUGCUACAAAAAGCUUCCAGAGAGACAAAAUCCGUCAGAUCCAAGCCAGAAAAAUCAAUCGAAAGAGAGCCUACCUUGACGAUCCAGCUUGCAAUAAGUCGGCCCGAGAUAACAACGAGCGCAAGCGCUUGCCACCUCCAGAGACUAAGUUGCAGCCAACUCUUCCCUUCAAUCUCCUCGAUCUUGAGCGAGCAUACGAGCAAGGCAGUGAGGAUCAAGAGCGAGACCCACUGGAUCCAGUAGAGCCACUCGCUCUCGCCCUUGUUGAGAUUCUUAUCGCCGGGUAUGGAGUCGUCGUCCAGGGGAUCCUGAUCAUCCUCGAAAGAUAUCGACUUUGCGGAGCCGGGUGUCUUUGGCGGCGAGAACCUCACGUCGUCACCUUCAAACUUCCGGCUCUUGAGAGUGGAAGUGAUCUGGUUCCGGAUCGCGGGAGUCAUGGGCGGAGGAUCCAGCAGCCGUGUUCUCGACCUCCCAAAGUUGGAUUUUGGAGCGAUCCUGCGCAUGAGCGGCGGCGUCGUGGGAUCGUUGUCACUGUCGCUCUCGUUUCCAUAGCUGUCCACACGAGAGGUCUUGCAGUUGUCCGUGGUGGAGAGCUCCGGCGUGAGUGGAACCGGGACUGUCACGGUGAUGAGCGAUGGCCUCCGGGACCUGUAAUCCACCCUCGCGGACGCUGACAUUUGCGUGGACAUCUCUGAAGCCGAGCUAGCCACGAUCGAGGCCAAGGGAGGAAGCGUAGCUUGCGACUUGGUGACUUGAGCUGGAGGAGGAGGAGGAGCUCCAUCUCGAUCUCCCUGGGAGACUUGGAUGUCCUGGACCUGGUGGUGGCGAUGGCGGUGGCGCUGGUGGUGGCGAUGGAAAUCACCUUCUUCAUCGUCGUCGUCGAUGGUCACCUCACUGAUGAGCGUAUCUAUUUCCUCGGCAUGGUGACGUCCUGCCAUCGCCGCGAAGAGCAACACCUAGCCGGACAUUCUCACCUUUCAUGGUGAGAUCAUCCAAACCUUUCAUCUCCCCUGCCGCCGGGGGGCUAUGAAAGGUCAAGAGUCUUGCGUUUCUUCUUGGCUGACGUGGCAAGGAGAGAUUCUCGGUAGCGCUAGCUACUCCAUACCUCGCUGGAUCUUCCAACAGCGCCAUGGAUUCUUGCUGCGUAGCGCUCGGAUGGAGGACGCGCGCCAUUCCAUUCCAUUCCCCUCUUCUUGCCCUAAAGUUUUCUUUAAGAGCCCUUGGGAUAAAGAGGUUUAGGGCUUUUCUAGGGUAAGAAUGAGCGGGAGUGGCAUUGGCGCUGGCUCCGCCAAGACGCCCACGGAUUUCCUGCGCUCGAUCAAGGGCCGCCCGGUGGUCGUCAAGCUCAAUUCCGGCGUCGAUUAUCGAGGUAAUGGAUCCAUUGGCAGCCUAGAGAAAUCUAAGUGGACGGUGCCCGCGCAGGGAUUCUGGCGUGCCUGGAUGGGUACAUGAACAUCGCCAUGGAGCAGACCGAGGAGUACGUCAAUGGGCAGCUCAAGAACAAGUAUGGCGACGCUUUCAUCCGUGGGAACAAUGGUAUGGAGUAGGGCUCUUUUUCUCUUCUCUAUUUGAUCAUUCUUCUCUUCUUGCCAGUUUUGUAUAUCAGUACCUCAAAGAAGGUGAUUUCUUAAGAGAGACGAUGAUGCAUAGAAUUCUUUUUUCUCGCUCCUUUGUUGCAAUUUGGUUCACAAGGCACUCCAGACAAGCUUUGGAUUUGCAACCUACAGGUGGAGACUGGUCUGUCACUAGCGGCCAAUUUACGAAAGAACAACUACAUAUCACGACUAUGUGAAACACAGCCAUCGACGGCCCAGAAAAUAAUAUUGCAUAUUGUCGUAUUUAGGUAAUCUUUUUCUAUGGAUUAAAAAUAAAUUACGACAAGGUAUUUGCCUAAAUAAAUGGUAGUCCAAAAGAAACAUGAACAUUCUACAAGAUGGGAUUAAUAUUGUUUCCUACUUUUUUCUCUUUUUGUUUAUUAAAUAUACUAUUUAUAUUUGCAACACCUCCUAUUCCCCCUAUUCCUGUUCCAGCUAAUGAGCCUACUGUAAUCUAUGCUAAAAAUCCCAAUGCUAUCAAUAUAAAUCUCUUUACGCGCCUUUUGGGGCACAUCCAAGAAUAUAUUUCCUCACAAUUUCUUGAUGAUGAAACAUAUUCAUCUACAUUACGAACUAUAAAUAUUGAUUUCCGCAGAUCAGGGUUUAGGAUCACUGUAAAUUUAUAUGUUUUAGAUCCUGGAGUCAUUGGUCAAGAAAGUCUUAUACCAUAUGCUUGCACUACUGAUCCAACAAGUCCAAUAGGCUUUCAAGGUGAUGAGCUGCACACCAUUUUUGAAAGUCUUCUAAGAUUUGUUCGAGCAAGAGCUGCAUCAGAUGUAUUUGGGAUAUCUUUCUGUGGAGAAAUUCGUGUUGUAUUUCUCAAUCUUAUGAUGGAUUAUGAGCUAACAAUACCACUCCCCAAGCUUCCCCAAAAUAUGUUAAUGCAUGUAAAUUUUACUAAAGCCUACAAAUCUAAAGUACAAGAACAGACUUUAAUCCCUUGGCAUAUAACAAGUCAACAUGAAAAUUGUUGGGCAUUUUCAACUAUACUUAUUGGUCAAAAAGCUGAUAUAGUUGGCUCUUAUAUUCAAAUUGACAAUAGUUUAACCUUGCCAAAUAAAAAAUUCAGGCUAACAUUGGGGAGUGAUUGCAAAUUAAGGUUGUAUAGAAUUGGAUAUAGUAUCCCACUUUGGAUUAGCAAACAUAAGUAUAAACCCAGCCCAAGUUGUUAUGCACAUCUACAAAAGGAUGGAAAUUUUGUUACCAAGGAAGAUAAUAACUAUGAUCAAAGUAGGAUUUAUUGGGCUAGUAAUAACUAUUGUAUACCACAACCUUCAUGCAAAAUAAUAACAACAUUAACUGUUAGUAACCAUGGAAAUAUUAUUAUUUAUUGGAAGAAUCAAGUUCUAUGGAAAGCCUUGUAGUAGAUUAAUAAACUGACAUGUGUUGGUAUUUGGUAUUUCAUUAAUCUAGAUUAGAAAUGUGUCACAUCUUCUUAUAUUUUCAAUAAAAUAAUUUCUUAUUACUAAAUACUAACUUCUUCACACUAGUGUUAUAUUAAAUUUAACACAAUGUGAUUUCAUUAGUUAAUUUAAAACCACACUAUUAUUAAUUAAUAAUACCAAGUUUGAAAUAAAACUUUGUAAAUCUUUUAGUUAAUAAACUUAAAAACUAAAAUUGCUUUGGUCUAAUCAAUUUCAUUAUAUUGCUGAUUUAUAUAUAAAGACUUAAUUAUAUGGAUGGCUCAAAUUCAAUCCAGCUUUGUUGAUAAUAUAAUUGGCUUAUUAUUUACAUUUCAGAAUAUGUGCUAAAUAAAAUUAUUAAUUUUAAUAUGUUGAAAACAAAAUGAGUAUGUGAGUGCAUGGAAUAUGGAACAGGAAUAUAGAAAUAUGCAUAUCAAUUAGCCCAAAAACCCUAGCUUAUAUACAAAAGCAAGUGGUCCGGAUUGAAACCAAUCUGACAGCUACCAAAAUCCCACUACGCUAAUAUUAGUAUACGGCAUCGUAACCGUACACUUGGCCCUCACAUCAUCCCCUCCUCUUGGAAUAAUGGAAGGCCAUCAGGGUUCUCUUGUAGAUGGGCCGGGAUCUGGAGGAACGUCAGGAGGAGGCAUCGGUGGAUCUGUAGACGGUAUUAAUUGCUCCUGAUCCCUUUCUAUAAAGCGUUUUAACCGCUGCACAUGCACAAUCUCCGGAGGAUCAGCUUGCUGAACGUCAUGCCGAACCUCAUAAACUUGUGGUCCAACUUGCCACAACACCUGAUACGGUCCUUUCCACUGCGCAAGGAGCCCCUUAGAUAAACCACAUACCGUAAAAUGGGGAAAACGGACUAACACCAAAUCAUCCACUUUGUACUCCGCAGGUGGACGAUGAUGGGAAUUGUAGUGCCGUUGUUGUCCCACUUGUACGCGGCCUAAAUGUUCAACAAACUCUGCUCGGACAAGUGGAAGAAUGCUUGUCAAAUAUUGAUCCCAUGACUUAGCAUCAGGAGCUCGUGGCAAUCGCAAAGGUAAACCCAACUCUGUUGGUAAUAUUGGAUCAUGACCAUAUAGAAGUUUAUAUGGUGAAGCACCAACAGAACUCUGCACCCCUGUGACAUAGGCAUACCGAAGAGACGGCAAAUAACCAUCCCAAUCCGAAUGCUGAAAGUUCACAUACUUCGCAAUCAUCCCUUUGAAUGUCCGAACGAGCCGUUCCACCAGACCGUCUGAUUGUGGAUGAUAAACACUCGUAAAAGUGUGGCAUAUCCCCAACCGAGAUGUCAAAACAUGAAAUACCUUAGCCAUAAAUGCAGAACCAUUAUCCGAAAGAAUCCGCUCUGGACAAGAAUGCUGGAACACCACUCAAUUGAGGAGGAAGUAUCCAACAGCAGUUGCAGAGGCACUAGCAAGAGCACCAACUUCCACCCAACGAGUCAAGUAGUCAGAAGCAAUAAUAACAUACUCAUUGCCAGCAGUCAAUCGUGGAAAAGGUCCCAUAAAAUCAAAUGCCACCAACUCAAACGGACGGGAAACUACAAUUGACUCCAACCGUCCUUCCGCAGCACAAGGAGGAGUAUUAUGAGCUUGGCACCAAAUGCAGCUACGCACAUACCAGACAAUAUCACGUCGCAUCUCUGGCGAAUAGAAAGACCUGCACAGCUUCUCGGUGACAUGACGGUGUCCCAUAUGCCCACCUAGAACAGGAGAAUCAUGGUAGGCAUGGAGAAACCGCGGAAUAAACACCGAAGGCACCACCAACCGUAAAUGAUCAUCAGGAUCUGUCCCCACAAAAUAAAGAAGGCCAUCUUCAAGGCGAUAUUGAGAAUGUAAAUGCCGGAAAGGCAAGUCAUCAGCAAGUGAUGCAGGAUUCUCAAACUCAUCUUGAAGCCUUCGAAUCCACGGUGUAAGCCACAAAUUUUUCCUUUCCAAUUUGCCAGCUUACCUCGUCUAUCCGUCCAACACCGCCUUAGCCUUCGCUAAGUUCCCUUGCCAAGGUUCUCACCUAUGGUACCAGCUCCUACUUGGUCUCAGCUACUCACUGCACAAGCAACGGAGUGUUAGCCAUCAAUCCACGGAUUCCCAAAUCAUUCCCAAUCCCCCUCCCCGGGUUAGACUGGACUUAAGGUUCGGCUACACUUCCCGCAAGCACAAGCAGCCAAGCACACCAAGCUUCCAGGUUCCUAACUUCCCUUGGUACCACAAGACUUGAUCAUGGGACCCUCUAAAUCCCAAGUCUUGAGUGCAACACUUGCUUCGGGACACCGGGGCGAAACACCGUGGCCUAGCGGCCCGGUAGGGGUACCUCUCGCCCCCCACUUCCAUCCCGAAGGAAGGCCCAAGCCCCUAGGAAGGGCGAGGACCAAUGAGCCGCAUGGUACUCAAGUGGGGCACCACUCCACAUGAGCCGGGAGCACCGCAAUCGGUUUCCCUUUCGGGAGUGGGAGCUGCUCUUGAGCACUUCCUUGGAUGGCCCCUCCGGCACCAGCCAAGCCCAUGCUCACUCCCACCCAAGGCCCCUCGGUCCCAGUCUCAACCUCAAGUCGGUUUGGAAGCCCAAUUGGAGAGUCCCUUCNNNNNNNNNNNNNNNNNNNNNNNNNNNNNNNNNNNNNNNNNNNNNNNNNNNNNNNNNNNNNNNNNNNNNNNNNNNNNNNNNNNNNNNNNNNNNNNNNNNNUUCACCCCUUGACCCGUAUUAGUAUUUGGACUUAGUCUUUGGCUCGAUCUCGGACCCGAUUUCGGAUCCGACUUCGGAUUCGGGUUCGGACUCGAUCUCAGACUCCAUCUCGGACCCGAUCUCGGACCCGACCUCGGACUCAACCUCGGACUAGGUCUCGGACCCGAUUUCGGAUCUCGGACUCGAACUCGGUCCCCGAGUCGGUCUCGGACUCGAUUCCGGACUCUAUCUCGAACUCGGUCCUAGAGUCGGUCUUGGACUCGAUCUUCGACUUGGUCCCAUCCGAUGAACUCUUUGUCAUUUUGGUCAUGCUUUCGGGGUUUCUUUAGCCUACGACACCUCGGCGAGUUGGUUCCUUACACACGGCUCAAUCUUUUGAGCCACGCGAACCUCAUCCAGAGAAGGUAGAUCUUGCUCUGCGCCCUGUGGACACUGAACGUCAAGGACAGCAACCGCCGACAGCACAGAAUCCUCAUCUAGAAAAUCCACAAAUGCUGGAACAACAGGUUUGUCAGAAACAUGAGAAGUGAGUGGAGAAGGAAGAGGAGCUCGAGAAAGGGCAUCAGCAUCAGCCAUAGAACUCCCUGGGCGAUGAACAACAUCGAAAUCAUAUAUCUGAAGCUUCAAAGCCCAUCGAGCCGUACGACCAACCAGGUUCUUCCGCUUCAAUAAUGAAGUAACAGCAGCAUGGUCACCUUCAAUUAACGUCCGAGAACCAUAUAGAUAUGCAUGAAGUUUCUCGAAACCUCAGAUUGCUGCUAAACACUCCUUCUCCAUCAUGGAGUAGUUCAUCUCCGCUGGUUGUAAUGUAAGGCUUAUGUAUGCAAUGGGAUGGCGUUGACCAGGCACACUCAAGCUCUUUUGCAUCAACACACCUCCAAGAUCAAUGUCAGAAGCAUCCACGCGCAAAAUAAAAGGUCGAGUGUAGUCAGGAUAUGCCAAAACUGGAGGAGUCGUCAAUAGCUCUUUGAGAUUCAUGAACGCUCACUCACAAUCCGGAGACCAGAUGAAAGAUGACGUUGAUGACUUCAGCAAUGCUCGCAAUGGUGUAGUGCGAUCGAAAAGAUGAUCCACAAAACGACCGAGAUACUACACCUUACCCAAAAAGUGCUGCACAUCAUUCACACACUUUGGAGUAGGGAACUUUAGAACAGCCACAAGUUUGUCAGGAUCAACUUGCAAACCCUCACGAGAAAUACGGUACCCAAGAUAAGUUGUGUCCUUGGACCCAAACACGCACUUUGACCGCUUCAACUUUAAACCAACGUCGCGUAGCUGAUCCAACACUUUACAAACAUCACAAACGUGCUCCUCCCAUGUCCCCUCCGAGUGGAUCAAGACAUCAUCAAUGAAGUUAGCUGUCACCUCCGGCAUAUCGCAAAGAACCUCGUCCAUCAUCCGCUGAAAAGUUGCUAGAGCAUUGUUCAAACCAAACGGCAUCACCAAGAACUCGUACAAACCAAAUGGUGUACGAAAAGCAGUCUUAGGAAUAUCUUCUUCGGCCAUCGGUACUUGCCAAUACCUAGAAGCAAGAUCUAGCUUGGUGAACCAACGACUUCACCCCAGACGAUCCAAAAGAUCAGCAAUGUGAGGAAGAGGGUACACAUCCGUUUAACGGACGAUAAUCAAUGCAGAAACGAAUACUCCCAUCAGGCUUCGUCACAAGAUGAGGUUCACAUGCCCAAGGACUCCGCGACUUCCAAAUAACACCCUUCUCCAACAUCUCCUUGACGUUUGCACGUAAAAUCUUGAUCUCCUUGGGUGACCGACAACGAACAGGAACCUUGAUUAAAUGAGCAUGACAUGUAUGACGUGGGAUGACGUGUGGCAAUCUUGGCCCCAGACAAUAGGUCAAAUUCAAAGAGAUCAGAAUACUCCUUCAUGAGCUAGUCAACAGCUGCAACACAUAGAUCAUCGGAGGGAUCGGAAAAGGGAAGAGCAGAACAAGAUGGAAACACAAGAGGAAAUAGUGGGGGAACAAAAGUAAUGGAAGCAGAGGUAGAAGUAAAUGGACGAAGAGGUACGGAAGUGAGAGGAAUAGAUGAAACAUAAGGAAGUAUGAAACAAGGGGGAGAAGCCUCAAAGUCACAUUUGGCAUGAUUGCGCUGCAACCAAUCCAUACCAAGAAUGAGGUCAAAAGCUUGACUCGGCACCACCUGCAACGACUGCAACUCAAACUCGAGAUCGCCCACACGCAUAACCAGGUCCGCCUCAUCUCGUGCACAUGCAUAUGUAUGGCUGUUGCCAUAAAGAAUGAAAACUGGAUCCGCCGCAUGACGCAAGUGUAGACGACAACGUGUGGCAAUAGGUCGAGCAAUAGAAGAUAAACUCGAACCUGUAUCAACCAACACGGAGAGAAGAAUAGGAGACCUCUUGUUAUAAAAACGAGCUUGGAAAGUAAACACUAGAUGAACCGGUGCCGAGUGAACCCCUUGAUGAUACUCCCGAAAGAAAGAUGGAGGGGUCACUAACUUAUUUGCGCAAGAUCCCUCCAUUACUCGCGCGACUCCUUGUUUCCUGAAUGCACCUCGGUAUCCAAACCUUCCACCGCAGCAGCACCAACGGGACGUUGCUGACGCCAAAGUCUCCACCUAAGAAAUGGAGGUCGCCAAUCCGGAAAGCGCUGACAACACCGAUAAGUAUGACCAACUUCAUCACACGCCCAGCAACGAACAUCACGGCCACGACCACGUCCUCGCCCUUGUCCUUGGACUCGAGUAGCAGUAGCAUCAACCUCCAUUGGAACAAGACUAUCACUCAUAGAAAGUGGAGCUGAAGGACGUGCAGUGAGAAGUGGAAGAAGCGACAUCUCAUAACGUUGUGCCAAGCGAAGAGCAUCGUCAAGGGUGGUAGGAGCAAGUGCAUACACAAGGCCAACAAGAUUUUGACAAAGUGCUGGCCACAACAUUCCUAGCUUGAUCUGCUCCAACAUAUUAGGCUUCGCACGAAGCAAAAGACUUCGGAAACGAAUGCCAAAUUGCAUCACUGACUCAGAUGGCCCUUGGCGAAGACGAUGCAAUUGUUGGAAGGCAUCAUCACAAUCGUCGGCAUGUCCGAAGGUGCGUUUGAAGACGUCCGGAAGAACACUCCAAUCCCCACGAGUGGCCGCACUCAAUCCAUUGUACCACUGCAAUGCCGUCCCUUGGAGACACGUGGGAAACUCACGCAAACGUCGAGCAUCAUCCCAAGAAUGAUAUGUGGCAAUCACCGUGUAGUGAUCGAACCAAUGGUACACAUCAUCCCCAGGAUUCCCACGAAAGAACUCCGGCUGAACGCGAGGAUUGGCACCAAGAGCAGGAGGAGUUGGACCACGUGCCGUGAAUGCCGCCAUCAAUUGAGUUUGGUUGUUCAAUUGCAAGUGCAUAACAUCAAGCAAGUGAACCAACUGCUGCUCUAGAGUUAAAGGAGGAGAUUGCGGAUCGGCCAUGAAGAUGAACGAAAAAGAAAAAAGCAAAAGAAGAGAAAUGACAAAAAGCUGGAAAGAAAUGGUAGAUCUAGACAAUGCAAAAAGCUAGAUCUAAACCAAAAUCCUGAAAGGAAAGAACAAAAGAAAGGAAAUGGAAAAAGCUAAAUCUAGACAAUGCAAAAGCUAAAUCUAAACCGAAAUCCCAAAUCCAAGCACUCCCCAUGGACAAUCAAAGGUGCCCCUCACUUCCACCAAUGUGAGUGCAUGGAAUAUGGAACAGAAAUACAGAAAUGUGCAUAUCAAUUAGCCCAAAAACCCUAGCUUAUAUACAGGAGCGAGUGGUCUGGAUUGAAACCAAUCCGACGGCUACCAAAAUCCCACUACGCUAAUAUUAGUAUACGGCAUUGUAGCCGUACACUUGGCCCUCACAAGUAGAAAAGAGUUUGAUGAUAUUUCUAAAUAACUAGAAAAUUCUAAUGACUGAACAAAAAGAGAAAAAAUAUAUAUAUUCCGCAUCUUCUUGAAUUAUAGAUAUAUAAAUAUAUAUCAUAAUAUAGAUAUGUAUAAUUAAAUCAUAUAAGUUAAUAUUACUUAAGAGUCUUACUAAGUUUGUAAAAAAGUCAAAUUUUAUGUUGAUAGUAAUUUACAAAGCUAAGAAUAGAUACUUUUAAUGCUUAACUAAUUUUAUAGAAUUGAAAAUUUUGUUAUAAAUUUUUUUAAAUAAAGUAUAGCUAAAUAGUGAAUUUAAUUUUAAUAAUUUUAAUAAGUAACUUAUAGUCUAAUUUAAUGGAUUCUAAGAACCUUUAAAUUCUUAAUAAAUAUUAACUUUUAUAGUUGGUAAUAACCAAUGUAGUUAUAAUUACCCCUCUAACACCAUAUAUAAACUCUCCAAUUAGAAGAUGUAUAAUUUAAAUUAAAAAAUAUUUAACCCUAACUAUGAAAAAUCUAAAUGUUAUUCACUUUAGUUGUUUACAAUACAUAAAUUUACAAUGAAAAUUAAAACCCUUUAACUAAUUAAAAAGGGGUGUGCACUCUUAUUGAUGGGUCUUUUUAUUCUAUAUUUAAACCCCGAUAGAUACUCUAUUAAACUGUCCUUUUUUAUUAUUUACAGAAAUUUAUUAUUUUCAAUAUAUAUUACUAGCAUAAUAAAUGUUAUUUUUAGUCUUUAUUGUUUUAAAAUAAACAUUAUUAUUUUUAAAACUUAUUUUAUUUUUAAAAAUAUCCAUAAAAAGUCUAUAAAUAUUAUAUUUUCAAAUUUAGUGAUAUACUCAAUUUUGUGCAAGGAUUAAAAUUUUUAAACCUGAUACUCAAACAACUAAGUGGCUUAGUUUUUAUGAAUAAGGGAACUAAAAGUAGAAAUAAAGUAAAAAUAUUUAAUAUAUUAUAUAACUAAUUUAAUAAUGUAGUCAAUUAUGUAACUAAUCACAUAUUUAUAAUUUUUACAUUACUAAUAAUUUAGUAAUUAUAUUUUUUAUAAAUAAUAUUUUAAAAAAAUUUAAUUAACUCUUUCAGUAAAUGAAAAUAAUUCCUCUAUUAUGGAACUACUUUAAUUUAUGGUCUUUAGUAAAACUAACAUGCAUUUAUAUAGUAUAUGGAUAUUAUGAAGAAAUAUAAUAUUAGUUUCUUUACAUGUUUAUUACUACUUGGUAAAUACGCUAAUAUUAAUUAGUAGUGUUAACAUAAAAGCAUGCUAAAAAUCCUCCUUAGGUCUACUAUAAAGCUCCUGUCUACUUGCUGUAGAAGUGAGUAUGUCUGGAUCUCUAACCCGUUUGCAGCAGUAUUUUAUAAAAUAGAAUCUUGGGAAUCUCUGCUGUAAUAUAUUUUUGGUUGAUCCCAAUCAAGUUAUGAAGAACAGGGGCAUGGGAGGAGUUCUUUAUGUUGUCCAGUCAGUGUCAGAAAAAUUGACAUUGAGCUCUACCACCUUAGUCUCAAGCAACCAUACUAUUAAAGGAAUUUGUGACUCCGAUUAGGAAUGUGUCUGAAUCUAAAGCCAUAUCAUAGAGAUUUUAGAGUCAUGAGAGGGUGAUGGAGAAGGGAUUAAAGAUUUUGAACAUUACUCAAAAAGAAGAUUUUUGAAAAAAGUGGUAGUAGACAUGAAUGUGGAGAAAGAUGAAUGGAAUGUGGUGUGAGAAUGGAAAAUGGUUUGAGGAAGAUGGCUGGAUAGCCUCAAGGUUGAGAAUGGUGGUGCAAUCUAUGAUAUGGACCUCUGGCAAUGAUAUAUUAUAAAUCAUCUUGUGAAAAAUUAUUGUGAAAUCUAGAGCAAGCAAAGGGUUGUCAACAUGUUAAUUGUCAUCAUGAUUCUUUGCUAAUAAUAAUUUGCAAAUGUCUCAAAUAUGAAAGGUGAUCUUAUAUAAUAUUCGACAUUUCAGCUUUCUCGAAUAACAAACCUUUCCUCAUUAACACUUAGACCCAGAUGAGCAAAUUGUGCCCAAUACUAAAAAGGUACUAUCAAACAUUUAUGUCCACUUACCUUAAUUAAAAAAGACAUGAAAGUACUUAAUUUAGACACUUUUACUGGUAUCAUAUGGUAGGAUAUCCAUCUAGCUACUAAUGUCUUGUCUUCUUUGGCAAAUCCAAAUUCAAAUGUGCCUAUGUGUGCACAAAACAAUAACAAAAAUAGUGUUGAAUAGUCAAGCUAAAGGUGAAUAUCUUGAAGAAGAUACCAAUAGAUAUAAAUUCUUUGGCAGCUAAAACAUAUAAAACAUUAUAUCAACGAUGGGAAAGUUACUGCUUUGCCUCCUCUUUCUUGCAGUAUUUGCAUUUUCUCAGCCACCAGCACCACCAGCACUUCGAGCUAGUGUGAUCUACACUGCAAACCCCUAUGUUCUCAAUGCAAAUCAAUUUUCCCGCAUUCUAAGAAAUAUUCUAAGGUAUGCCAUUGUGUGGUUCCAAGAUGGCGAAACUUAUCCAGUUGGGGUGAGAAUUUUAGUUGUCAAUUUCAGGCGAUCCAGGUUUAGAAUCAUAGUUAAUCUACAUAUUUUAGCUCCAGGAGCUAAUGGCCCAGACACCCUUUUACCUUUUACCUGCACCACUGACCCGACCAGUCCCUUUGGCUUUCGAGGCCAAGAUUUAAGAAAUAUAUUUCAAAUAAUUGUAGGAUCCAUACAACAAAAUGCUAGAUCAGAUCCAGACGGGAGAACAUUUUGUGGAGAAAUCAGGGUUGUAUUUUUAAAUCUUAUCAUUGAAUAUGCCUUCUCAGCCAUCCUUCCUAAUGAGGGAGUACUACAUGCGAGUUUUAUGUCCACAUUAACAUCAAAUUACAGUCACAACCAUCCUUUGCAGGUAAUCCGUUUAGGGAGGAGUGAUGAUCAGGAUGAUCAGAACUGUUGGCCAUUCUCAUCAUCGCUCUUUGGCCAUAAGGCGGAUAGAGUUGGUUCUCAUAUCAAAUCUGGGAACAGUUUAGUCUCGCCAAAUCGAAAGUUUAGACUAACCAUGCAGAUAGAUUGCAAGCUAGUGUUGCGUAGGAUUGGCGAGAAUCCCAUACUUUGGAUUAGCCAACAUAAGUAUAAACCUGGGCAAGGUUGCUACGCGCAUUUGCAAGAAGAUGGUAACUUUCUUAUCAAAGAUGACAAGGAUUCUAUUUACUGGGCAAUUGAUAGAUAUUGCAACCCACAGCCCUUUUGCAAGGUCACAACUACUUUAGUUGUUACCAAUGCUGGAAAUGUUUUAGUCUUUGAUGGGGAAAAUCAAGCCCUCUGGAAGGCUCUGGAAUAAAAUCAUACAAUUCACAAACUCUCUACAGAGCUUACUUAGCUCGCUAGUUGGAGUAUUUUCUCUUUCGCCUCUCUCCACCGCUGCUUCCACUCGUCUUGAUGGAGGAGGAAGAAGGUUGAUGCGGGAGGACGAGCAGUGAUGGUGGCGCUGGAGCUGGAGAUGGAGCGGCGUGACCAAUGUGCUGGGGAGCCGGAGGAGCUGGAGGAGCCGAUGGUGGCGCCGCUACUGCUGCUGUCGAUGCUGGCGCUGUUGCUGCUUCUGGCAUUGGACGCGGAAGGACGUGCUUGAGACGAUUGCUGCGGUAGUGCUUCCAAAAGUAGAAUUGUUGUCUGUGUGCUAGCUCCUGCGCACAGCCAGAUGGAUUAGAGAUGAAAAGACAGUUCUGUGUUACCUUGUUGGCUGGGUGUACCAUUGCAGCUCUGAAGUGAGAGCUUUGGAGAAGCUCGAGAAAGAACAAGCAAUGAGGGUACCUGAGCAAGGAGUCCGUGAGCUAAAACAAACUCAAGGAGCUAGCGAAGUGUUGUCAGAGUUUUCUCCAAAACAAGCUUACAUUAUGAAUUUCGCGUACUCUGGGCGACGCCAAUACUGCAAGUACUUGAGAUAAUUUACAAACGCUUCAUCGUCAAAGUAACGAUUCUGGGCGAGGUCUGCAAAAGGCAACAAUCACCCAUCAGCGAUCACAAAGCCAAAGCAGGGAAACAAUACGUACAGUGAAUGUAGGUCGGGUUUGCGAGGCACUGGACGAACUCCAGCUCCAACAAAAAUCUCUGCCGCCCUCCAUCGACCUCUUCACCACUCUCCAUUGCUAAACCCUACACAUCUUGGAGCGCAUAUUCUUAGCAUAUUUUAAAUCGCUUUAUUUCUCUGCAAACACGACAAUUAUGAAUCGUAAACCAGGAGCAAAAAUCUUACCUCUGUUCACUCUUUGGAACGCCAUUCUUCUCGAAUCUUUACGCUAAAAAAUCUGUACAAAUAAAUCUCUAUAGAUCGCUAUACUUCAUCUGGGUGUACAUGCUGAGCAAAACAAACAAUCAAUUACACUUGAUAGAGCCAAGUAAAAAUCCUUACCGCGAAGCUCGCAAUGUCGUGCUUGACUUCUAGUAAAUCCCUCACAACGUCGUAAGUCAUACUCUCGGCCUGAGCUAGCUUCGUGUUCAGCAUAAAUACCUGCAAGAUUUUCCCGAGUCACGAAAGUGAGUGAAUGAGCUCUUCACGUUUCUACCUCUUUCUCACGAACUGUGGCCGCGGCCUCCAACUCCUCGAUCCGUCUCUUGUUUGUGGAGUGCUCUUCAUUACUUACCCCUAGUCCAAUACACUUGAACGGGGAGCCCGAGCCUUUUGCUUUGACACAGGCCUUUUCUGGUGCACGCUGGCACGGUUUUGGCAUACAUCUCGUCUCCAGUGACGCUUCUAGUCGCUUAAUCUGUGAAUACAGCACAAGUUUAAGCUAGUUGUUCAAACGAAUUCUUUUCACCUUUCUCCGGUACGCGCUAGCUUCUUUAGUAGCUGUGUCCAUAAGUUCCGACACAUGCUUGCGCAAGGAAUUUAUCUGCAAGGAAAACAUCAGAACAGCAAUGGAAAGAAUGAACACAUACCUGGACGUCUUUUAGAAGGCCCUCCUGCCGAAAAUUUUCUAGUUCUUCGUCCAGGCGUAACAGCUUAAUCUUGUCAGCCGAAAUACUGGUAAAGAGUAAGUGAUCAGACACACUCAGCACGUAAAAUGAAUACAACGUACUCAGAGUAGUCUGUCGCUUGAACUAGCAUCUUGGUUCUGGAUAGCUCUGCCCUUAGUCUCUGCACUUCCAUUUCCAUGUCUUCCUUCAUUAUCUUCUGCAUCUCUCCAUCCCGUUUAAUAAGACCGAUCUGAACGAAGACGGGUUAAAAACUUGCAGACAAUAGUCCCCAUUUUACCUGAUUUUCCAUAGUAGCGAUCGUACUUUCUAGCUCCUGCACAGACCGCUCAAGAACCUUGACCUCCUCUUCUUUAUCAGUGGAAAGAACUUGGCAUUCCUCCGCUACCUGCAAAAGGCACGCAGAUUAAGUAUGAACCACAUUUUCCUCAAGCUCAAGUACCUUGCGAGACUUCUCUGCCACCAUUUCUAGUUCAUCCAUAGCGAACCGCGCUUUUUCAAGCUGCUCCUUGACCUUGCAUAGCUCGGCGUGAAGUUCAUCCCUUUCCAACAAAAGGACGCCCGAAUCAAAAUCCCCCUGUGACUGCAAAACUUUUCUUUCCACCAGGGAGCUCAUAUCAAGCAGUUCCGAAUCCAAGCUCUGAAUCAGAUGUCGCUUAUCUUCAAGGUCCUCCUCCAAUCUUGUGUUCUUCAACUCUAACUCUUCAAUAAGCCUUUUCUGUGAUCUGUUCUCCGUCGACAGGUAGCCCGUGGUUUCUUUCAAAGUUCGGAGCUCGUUCUCAACCGACGUGAGUGUUUUCAGUAACUUAAGAAGCUCAGCCUCUGCACCAUUGAUCUCGUUGGUUUUUAUGUCGAGCUCUUCUUGCAUCCUGUUGUUUUCGUCCUGGAGUUCGAUCUUCUUUUCGUGUGCUUCAGAGAAAGCCUCCUGCAGUAGGCUGAUAUCGUACUCUAGACCCUUGACAAGCUCGUUCUUCCUGCGGAUUUCUCCAAUCAGCAAAUCCGUCUCGUCCAUCAUCUCGUACAUCUUGUCUCUCAGUUCCACGAACUCGCCCCUGACAUCGUCGCCAAAACUGAAUACAGUUGACAUGAUAUCUGUCAGGUUGUCUUGGAUAGCCUGCAUUGUAGUCUGGACUUCAUGCUCUGCGUCCGUGAUGGCGUCGACCGUGUCGCACGUAAUCGUUCCAAUCUCCUGCUUGAUAACCUGCAAGUCGUUUUUCGCCUUAUCAAGCUUGCAGCUGAGAGCCCUCUCUGGUAUGGCAGCUACUUCCGACACAGAUCUUCUCACGUCACCGUGUGCACCAGAUUUGGCAAUCUCGUUGGCCUUGACAAGUGCGUUGAGCAGCUGCUCGGCCUCCUGAAGCAUAUGCUGACUAUCCUUGAACUUUUGUAGUAUGGUCGCCGUUUCUUUACUCUUGGCCGCAGCCUCCAGCUUCGCUUCAGUCAACUCCACCAGAAGCUCCUCUUUCUCCAACCUCCAGUCAUUUUCCUUGCUUUUGUCCACCUCGACGCUAUUGCCUCUGCUUGCCAGGAUAUAGUUUCGUGUCAGCUCGCGGACCACUACGAACGCCACGUACGCCUUUUUCUCUGCUUCUCUCAGCUGCUGGUGGUACGCGUCAACUUGAACCUUCAGCUGAUCUGCCUCCGAUACCUGUUCCUUCUGGUGGUCGCUUAUGGAUUUCAUUUUCUGUUCAGCUUCUUUGGCAACACAUAACGCCUGAUGGAGUUUGUCUUGGAGAGCUCCAAUGUGUGGACUGUACUGUUUCGAAACCUCCAUGCUCUUUCCAUGAAAUGACUCGCGUAUAAUAUCCUCCAUUUCCUUUGCAGCAGCUACAAGUGCUUGGUCCCCCUCGGCAAGAAAGUCGAACACCUUGGACGUGGCAUCCUCGCACUGUUCCUUGAUCUCCCGAACUUCCGUAUCUCUUUCUUGAAGUAAACUGUCAUACGCUCUAGCCAAUCUCGAGUUCUCUUCUGUAAGGCUGUCGGACUUGAGCUUUGAGUUUUCAAGCUCCUCAACCAAGCACGCAACUUGAUCGUUAGCAGUCUUGCAUUCCUCCCGUGCCUUAGCAAGCUCCUGGUUCAUGCUUGCAAUAGCAUUUGCCGUUUCAGCUUCUACUUCGGAUCGUGUAUCCUCCAUCUCUUUCUCAUGAGCUAGCCUCAAGGCUUCUUCUCCUUGAAAUAGUUGAUUCCGCAUACGAGCAUCCUCAAGCUCUCUUCUCGUCUUUUGCAGCUUCGCCUCGAGAACCUGUUUCUCUUCAUCGUCAACGUAGCCGACAAGAGUUUCAGCAGAAGCCCGAAUCUCAAGUUCUCUUUCCAAAUCGUGGAGCUCGUUCUUUUUCUUCACUUCCCAGUUAACUAGCCGGAGUUGGUCCUUUGCUUUCUGCUCCCGGGCUUCAGACUUCGUUAGUUUCUCAGAUAGCUUAUUGUGCUCUUCCAGGGACGGUUCGAACUCGCUAAUCAGAAAAAGCUGCUGGCUCUCCAUUUGCUCUUGUACCUCUCUGGCUUCCUGCAAAUGUGAAUUAAGCGAAGAUUCGCAACACUUAUUCAGCAAACCUUUAAUUGUUUCUUUAGCUCUUCUAUUUCAGAGCAAUAGUUUUUAGAACAGUCCUCCAGACUUCUUAUCCUCGUGGCUUGUGCUAUUCUGCUUUCCUCGCUCUAGAAAAGCGCAAGUGAAGCAAAUUAAACGAACAGAAGCCGGGAAGUUGUUACCUCCUUUAACAAGGCUUCUAGAUGAGUCAUGCUCUUCUGAUGUUUUCGUUCCAGGAGUUCAAUUUCCUACAUGAACAUCACCUUCGAAUUCAGUGCAAGAAGGACAUGCGAACGUAUACCUUCAGAUGUUCUCUCGUUUUUUCUUCAUUCUUUUCCUGUGAGGGACAGGAUGCAGCUUCAAGCUCGGCAAUUUGCCUACUGAAAAAGGAAGACGACGCAUUAAUAUGAGAAAUGUGAACGAAAAUACCUCCUCAAAUUUUCGUUCUCUAGCUGGUACUCCUGUAAUUUCCUCUGAUAACUGGCAUUCUGACAUGAAUUUAACUCUAGCUCAGCUUCAAGAGACUCCCUCUGAAUGGAAUAAGUUUUUAAUCUUUAAAUUCGUAAGUGAAACGUGAAAAAUAGAUACCAGCUGGUUAAGCUUCAAAAACUCAGCCGAUAAAAGAGUGUUGAUGUCUCUUCUUCUCUUGGGAGUGCAUCUCUGUAGUUAUCAAUGAAUCGCAGCCCUUCCUAUAACAAAUGAAUUUUAUUACCUUUCGAUGCUCACUAGAGAGCACAUUGUCAGCGUCACAAUCCUCGGAGGAUGGAGAUGUACAUGUCCCACUAGACUGAGAGCGUAAGCGGUUCACCUCUUCCUGAAUGAAUCAUCACAUACAGAUGAAGGAUAAAAACCGAACACGCAUACUUUGAGUUUGUAAAUUUGUUGUCGUAGAACAUUAACAUCACGCGAUGUAUCUUCGUUUACCACGGCCUGCCCCAAACGAGUAUGGAGUAAAGCACAAACUUUCAUAAAACGUACAUUAUUGCAGAUGAACUUCGCCCUUUGUGCAAACUUUAACGUGCUUAGUGUGUCCAAGGAACAGCUGCAAUAAAAUGCUUAACACGAAAACAGUAGCAGUAAAUCGUACCAGAUCGAAGGACUCACGGUGCUGAUUAUCAUUGUUUUAGAGUUCCCUCCUAAGGAAUCCUGUUCCAAUAUUAUCAAUAACAGAUCAAAGAAAAAUAAUGGACUCGACUAAACCUGAAGAAGAUACGUAAGCUUUGAAUCACGAUAUGGAACAUGUCUUUGCUUUCCAUUAGCAACGUCCACUAAUACCAUAAUGACGAGCCUAGAGAAAGAAACAUAAGCAGAUGAUGAACGAGUUUUCGAAUCAUGCUCACCCAAGCGUUGAUAGAGAUUUGUUGAUAUUCACAGCCUCUUUCAACCUAUCAUUUUCAGCGCCCGAAGACUUCUGCCUGCAAGAGAUUCAAUCAACCCCGUAAAGCACGAACAACGUACCUCUCAGAACCAGCUAGAUCAACCAAGUUUAGCCUUCCGUAUCUUCGAUUAAUUACUGCCUCUCGUUCCCACUGUAGAAGACGUUUUAGUGAAAAUUGGUGUACUACAAAAUGCAUACCGUGCUUUCGAUAACGCAAGUCAAAACACUAUGCGAGCGGCUACUCUCCCUGUUCAUAUUCGUAGCAGCAACCUUGCGGUUAGAUGCUCCCUGUAAGUAAAAACAUGAAUGCCAUUUAAGUCUUAACCGGGGCUUGACAAAAACCUGAAGCAGAAGUUGCGUGACAUCUUUCAAGCAGUUGACUUCAAACUCUGAAAGGCUUUCGACAUAAACACCUUUCCUUGCAUCCUCUCUCACUUGCAAGUUCGUUGAUGAAGGUUCGAGAAGAUCAGUAAUCUGUUCGUUGUAGAUUUCCAGGAACGAGCAUCUACAUGUAUAUCUAAGGUUUUCGUCUUUACGACCUUGUUCUUCCUGAAAAGAAAAACAUUAGAGGCUUCAAAACUUACCCAGAAGGAUAAUCUUGCCUUUCGGAUGGUAGAAAAUAGGUGCUCAAAAGCUCGAAGAAUCAGACCACGAUUCUCACUAUCUUUGCUAGUGAUAUCACCAAGCAUGGUAUGCGUCUUGCCACUACCAGUCUGCAUUUUCCAUCUUAAUUUUAAAUACUAAGACAACGUAAUAAAAACAGCAGACCUGGCCGUAAGCAAACACACAACUGUUGUACCCUCGCAUACAAUUUUCAACCAUAGGCAUUCCAGCAAUUCUAAAGAGCUUAUCCUGCCAUGUCAAACGUUAGAAAGCAAGCUAGACAACGUAGCUUGAUCUACCUGAGUGAUAGCCUCGCACGCAACAUGAUCAAAUGUGAAUCUGGUGUCCGGAUUUCCGAGCCAGGUUAAACUAUGAGCACUAUCUUGCCUGAUGCAUGUAUCAUAUCCUUCUGCAGCAAUCUCGUGGCUACUCAGUGGUCGAAUUCUUAUAAGCACCUGAAAAACACGCGGGAAGUUGCAAAACCGAGGAAAGAAUGGAACUUUCAGCCAGAAGAGAAAGUGACAAUGAUAUAAAGUAAUACCUGGACACUGUGCUCCAGCCAAAACGAACUGUCUUCCUCGAGAUCAAAAACGGGUUGGCAGUCUGGAUGGACGGCCGCAGAAUUAAAAACUUUAGAGCUGUUAUGUCCUGCCCUCUGUGGAGUGGAAGAUCCAUACUUCAGAGAUUUGGAGAUGAUCUUCCUGGGCGUGGCCGCAUCAUUGCUGCUUCCGGCCGUAGAAUGGCAGUCCUUCUCGGGCUUUGAGCUACGAGGAGUACCUGCCUUAUGCGUGCUUUGAUGAGGGUUCUUGGGUAUCCCUGGCUGCUGUGGGCGAUGACUCGCUGGCUCACUCUCGGCUCCAAGAUUCUUGACUUGUCUCUGGUACCAAGAGAACUUUCCCUUCGGUCGCUUCUCGGGAGUAAUCAAGAGAUUCUCCGGGACAUUCUCGGAAUGCGGGAACACGGUCGCGAAGCUCAUGCUACUGCCCUUCUUCCCUCGGGGCGUGGCGCUGCUGCUAGGGCCUGUUUCUUGGUGAUGCGAGGACGGGAGCUCGUGUUCCAGGAGAUGAUCGCGAUCCGUGUGGCCGCUUCCCGGAUUAUGCUUGGCCCCGCCUCUGGGAGAGCUCCCUAUGAGCAUCCGGAGAGGAGAAACCUUCGGCAUUCUUGAAUCCUAGCAAAAUCUACCCCUACACUCGCUGCUACCUCGCGCAAGGCGCUGCCGCUGUCGCAAAACAGACCCCCGGCGCUCGAUCGAGCGCACCCUGGCCUGCCACGAAGAACCCUAAAUCGGCAGCGUGGGCGCCUGGCACGCUGCAACAAAUGCCCCAGUGACUGAGUCCGGGCAUUUUUCGUCUGGGCCUAGAUUUCCAUGGAUGGGGCAGGUUUAGGGCUUUAGUUCCUUUGCACGAACGCAGAUCGCGCGGCUGGAUUUAAAAGCUCGCAAUCGAACGGCUGUCGUGCACGGGCGGCAACGGUCGAUUGUUGUGGGACCCAAGACUUUAUUUUUGGCCAGAAUCGAAACCGAAACCACUGGCACCAGCUUAAUUAAUCUGGUAGCGUGCUUUUAACAUAACCAAAGAAUACUUUAUUUCCAUGCUUUCUUUCCACGGAAGUUCUUCGUCAAUCUAGCCUUGGAUUUUCGAUGCUCGCGAGUUCGAGCGGAUUUCAUGCGCCGAGCAGCCACUGGGAGGUUCUUUUUCUUCUCUUUUUGGCGAUUACUCAAGCCUCCGGUCUAAAUCCAAACAAACAAAAUCUAACGAGUGAAAUAGCGAAUGAAAAACAUACCUUUCGUUUCUUUACUGCUGCUCGUGAAGUAUAGGUGCCUCUGUCGUCCCUUCCGGCCUUGGACGAAGCAAUUCUCUCUUCUUUGCUUUGCUUUCUUCGUAUGUUUGCCUGCAAAGUAAAGCAAUACAGAGUGAGCGCUUCGUGCUGAAAGAAAGAAAUGAAGAGCUUACCUCUAGUUUUGAAGGAUCAAGCGGACGUUGGUUUUGUGACUCCGAAGCGAUUUUCCUAAGCCCGUGAUUGGAGAGGGCAUUUUCAGCUUCUCGCUUGGCCUAAAAAGGAAGGAAAAAAGAAAAAGUGAAGUCAAAGUGGUACCGAGUGAUGAUAAGUACCUGGAUCUCUCGAAUUCGUCGGAAGUCUUCGUUUGAUAAAAUGCCAUCGCCAGAGACCUCGUCAUCCUCCAGUUUGCUACCCGCAAACCUUUUAAGUUGGCUCAAGCUCAUGUCGUCAAGGUUUGAUUCCUCGCCGUCCAUUUUCUUUCGCUUAAGCGUCGCAACCUGUUUCAUUUCGCCAUUCUUCAGUUUCUUUUCCAAAGUCUCGGGCACAUCUUCAUCUGACCCUUCGUUGUCAUCUCCACUGUCUUCAUCAUCUUCGCCUUCGUCAUCUUCUUCGUCUUCUUCGUCGUUGUCAUCUUCUAGCUCUUCUCCACUGCCUUCACCCUCCUCCUCGCUACUUUCUUCUUCCUCUUCUCUUCCACUUUCGUCAUCUUCGUCUCCACACUCUCCACUAUUGUCUUCGUCCUCCUCUUGCUCCGCCAAAAGCUCUACGCCCGGCACGUCGGUGUGAACAAUGACUUUACCAAAAGCCUUUGGUUCCACGGAUAAAUCAGUGCCGCGACCACGGUGCUUCUUCAUUAAAAGUGAUGGAUUAACCUGUCAAAUAAAAAUUUGUGUCUUUAGUAAAGACUUCCAGGCACUUAACUAACCUGGCGAUAGAGUCCAAUGAUGGAGUUCGCAGCGGCAGAUACUGCUUUUUCUCGGGAUUUUUUGUACAUUGAAAGAUCUUCAAGAAGGUCUCUUGUCAUGAUCUGCACGAAAGAAAAAACGGUGAGAAAAGGAACGAGACUUAUGAUACGAUGAUCUCACCAGUGGCAUCCGAGCACAAAUCUCACGAACGGUGUUUAGACCGACGGCAAUAACCUGCGCUAGUCCAUCAGCAACAUAAAAACCAUGAAAGAUAAUUUACCUCAGGCCGCGAGCGAUCAUGCACAAACGAGUUCACCAGUUGCUUCAGCAAUGGUUCUACUGCAUCAACUGGAACCUAAAACAAAGUGUCAGAAAGGAACUAAAGCGUGAGUAUCGGCUCACCUUAUCGUGGCAUGCCUGAACUGCGGCCGCAAGCAGCUGAGUUUCAUCUUGUUGGUGAGGCUGCAGGGAAGUUAUAAUAUUAAAUCGGAAUAGGGAACUAGUCCGCAGACUUACCGACACAUAGCGCUGUAAAUGAGGAUAGAAACUGAGUAGUAAAAGCUGAUGCAUCCCCACGCAUCGCGAAAUAACCAUAAUCAUCAUAAGUUUCACCUAUAGAAACAAAGACAUAUCACCAUCUAUGAAUCCCAGAAGGUUUUCUUACCUGAAAUUUCUCGUUACAGUUUUGCAAACGCGCAAACAACUUCUCCGCGAAUUCCUUGUUUCACAAUACGUAGUGUUUUAGCAACUUCCGAACCGAGGUGAAAAACCAGUGACUAACCUGUGGAUCUCGCAGAUGCUCGAGAGGUGCAAAGCUUCCUUUUUUUUCCUCCUGCGCUUUUAUCCGCUGCUGUUUUUUCAAGCUACGGAUGGCCCUCUCUAUCUUAGCUUGCUUCUUCUUCUUGCUCGAAACCGUGCCUUUGUGUUGUGACUAGAGUUCACCGAAAUCGAACAUUUCAAUAGUGCGUGAUAAAUCAGCCAAACCUUACCUUGUAUAUGGCUUCCUUGCUCACACCAACAGCUCCCGAGGGUGUGUCAUCUUCUUGAUCGGACUCGUCGCUGUCUUCAUCGUAUUUAUUUUCGUAGCCAUGAAGAAAUUUCAAGGUAGCUAUCAUAAUUCUACGAAAACAGUGUCAAAAUGGCAGCUUGAACUUAAAGAAAACUUGAGCUGAACUCACCUCGGAGACUUGUGGAAACAAGCGUUGCAGAUGGCAUUCGCAGUUUGCGGAUCAAUCCACACCUUUCGCCUGUAGAGCUCGCAAGUCAAGACGAAAGCAUGCUUUGCACGAGCUUCAUCGUCUUCCUAAACGUUUUAAUGUCGGUGAGCGCUCGAAGCAAUAAGAAAGUAGAAAAGUGCAUACCUGGAUUACUGGAAAGAUGAUGUUCUGCAAGGACCUGUUCUUGGCUUCGUUCCUGUGCUUGCGAUUCAUGCGAGAGAUGUUCUGCAAAAGGUGGGAGGAGACAAACUUUUUGAGAUUUUUGUCUCCUGAGGAUUGAAGCUUUAUCAUCACUGGCAAGACUUCCACGAGAGAAAUUUUCUACCAGAAAAACGAAAGGUUAAAGACCUUGUGUAAAUUUUUUUUCACUUCCUUACCUCUCGAUUGCGAAGAAGAAUGAGAGCUUGCGCAAGGUGACAACGCAAAGACGAUGGAAGACGAUUGCUAGCAUUCUUGAGUAAAUUGAGUAGCUGAUGCGGAAAUCCAGCCAGCUGCUUGGGAUACGAGGGCGUAACAUGAGCUAGAAACAUCGCCAUAUCGCCCAGCUCCUUGGCGGCCGCGUGAUCGGGCGCCAGAGCGGCAAACGAAACGUUCCCAUUCCCAGCAUCCGGCGCCUCCAGUUCAAGAACACCCAAGCACGCCUUGAAAUGCCGCAGCUGCAAAUCGAGCUCUGCCUCAUACCCGCCGGGAUCCUCCUUCAUUCGCGAUUGCAGCAGCAGCAAAUCGGCGUGCGGAGUCACCUCCAUCGCGCACUCCAAGAGCCCUAAAAUCAGACCAGAGUGAUAAACCCUAAACUCUCAUUGGACGGCUAGCAUUUAAUUCCAAGGUUUAUUCUCCUUUAUUCCCACCGAUCGAACGGUCACUAUUCAUCUUUAGCAAAAAUCUUUGUACACAGACACCUAGCUUUAGAAUGCCGAUCCACUUCCCCUUCUCUGCCCGAGCAACACGUCCUUGGCCUCGUUGAUCUUCGUCGCGAGGUAAUCGCUCCCUCCAGCAUCUGGAUGAUUCGCGACCAUCACUUUCCUGUGCGCCUCUUUGAUCUUCUCCUGUGCGACGCUUUCCCUGUCCGCCAGAGCUUUGGACUCGAAUCGAGAGAGGAAAAACCCUUACCUCACGCCAAGGAUCAGCGCGGCUUCUCGUCUCGUCAUCGUCGGCUGGAAACCGCCCUCGUAGAAUUUUCGCAAUCGCGGCACUGCCGGUCGCGUCCGGAACGCGUGCCAUGCCUCAACCCCAUACUUCCCAGCUAUCGCAGCUGCGGCGAUCGCAACUCCAGCAAUGAAUGGCGUAGCCUGCGACAUUGGGGCAUCAGCACGCUGAUCGAUCGAUCCCAUUCACUCACCAUACUUCCCUGGCGAAGCGCGCUUCGCUCGCUCGUAAUCCCUAACCCUAAAAACGCCAUAGCCAGAAAAUGGACGGCGGAGAUCUUUUGAGCAAGAACCCUAAGCCCUAAUUUCUCUUGGCGAGGCGGCGAGAGAGCGAUGGCGCAGCGGCUGACUUACCGGAGGCGCCACAGCUAUGCGACCAGAUCCAACCAGACCAAGGUCGUGAGAACGCCAGGUAAGUCUCUCCUCCCUCUCUCUCGCUCUCGAUCGAUGCAUUCUCACGGAUUUCUCUCAGGUGGGCGUCUCGUCUACCAGACCGCGACGAAGAAGGCGAAGGGGCCGCGAUGCGCGAUCACCAAGAAGCCCAUCAUCGGGGUAAGGCAUUCUCGAUUCUCUCGCUUUCUCGCCGCUUAGCGCUAGCUCUUUGAUCUGUGGUAGGUUCCUCGUCUAAGGCCGAUGGAGUAUAAGCGCUCUCGCAUUGCCAGGCACAAGAAAUCCAUCAGCAGGGCCUACGGUGGAUCCAUGUCCGCGUCGGCAGUGCGCGAGAGGUAAAGUAUCGAUCGAUCUGUCAAUGGGAUCUCUCAAAAAAUACUUUGGUUCUUCCAGGAUCAUGCGAGCUUUCUUGGUGGAGGAGCAAAAGAUCGUGAAGAAGGUUCUCAAGGUCCAAAAGGCGAAGGAGAAGCAAGCCGCCAAAGCCCAAGCUUAGAACGAUCUAAAGAAUGUGGCCUCUUUUUUUGUUUGAAAUUUUAAAGUCUCGACGUUCUCGUUCUUAGGGUUUUAGAUAGGGUUCUUGCGGAGGUCUUGAUGGCGCUGGGGAGAGCGCUCGCCUCCGCCGCGAGGAAAGCUGCUGCCGAUUCCAUUCCAAGAUCCUACAUUGCGUCUCGAUCGGUGACAAGGUGUAGAUAUUUCGUGUUGUUUUCGAUUCCAUAGCCUGAGUCUCGCAGAUUUCGAGCUGCUGCCUCCGCCGCGGCGCAUUUCUCCAUCCCUUUCCACAAUGCGACCGCGCAAGCUCGUUUGGUCGCGAGAUUGAGCGCUGGAGGGAAUUUCACUUCGUUUGCGUUGUUUCAAGGUACGUGAAAUCGUGAAAUUUUUUUCUUGUUUUCCUGAGCAUUCAUGCAUGGGAGUUCGUAUGUGGAAUUUUUUUCCAAAUCUUCUAUGUUCAUGCCAAAGUAUUUGUGUGUGUGUUCGUGUGUGUAGAUGAUGAAGGCACAUAGUGAUGUUUCCAGCGCCCCUAAAUGACACUGCAAUUUUUUUUACCUGCUUAGAUGAUCUUGAUGACACCUGAUGGUGCGGCUGCCUUGACGAAUUGUUCUUGAUUGCUGGAGAGGCUAUAGCUGCUUUUCAUCUUUCAUUUCUCUUCUCGUUUUGAAAAAUCUCUCACUUUUUCGGCUCUCAUGAUCGCGGUGUGUUGUUAGAACUCGGCUCAGCGCAGCCUCGAUGAUUCCCGGGGUGAGUAAGCCAUCGCGUCAUUUUGUCCAAAGAUGACUCUUAAACGUUUUUGAAAUUCAAGCUGAGAUUGUUUCAUUAAGGUUCGCUAUUCAUUCAUUGGGUUUUACUUUGCACAAGUUGGGCCCGUCUGGAAUGGUUCUUCACUUUCACUGUAGGCACAAAUGGUGAAAGCCAAUACUGAGGAGCAGCUAUGGCAGCUAUUCUUUGAAGACCCAUCUUCCUGGUGGGACAAUAGAACUGUGAAGGUACUUCUUGGUUCUAUCUCAUAAGUACUGAAUAGAUAUCUUCUGUCUCUUUUCCUUUUCCAGAGUAAUCCGAGAUUUCCAGACUUCAAGCAUGCAACAAGCGGAGCUAGUCUCUGGAUCAAUUCCCGGACUCCCAAAUGGGUGGCACCAAAACUGUCGACUCUGACUCAGACAUCGUGCAGUGAAGUUCAGUUCCGAAAAUCAUGUGUUGGAAGCUCGGUGAGGAAGAAAGAAGUUGGCAAGCACUCGCUGGCGGCAUAUCUCAAAUUGCUAGACGAUGGAGUAAAGCCGGCUACUGGGUCAAUCCUCGCUGCGUUGAAGGUCUGUAGCAGCUCACGAGAUCUCCAAGCGGGUAAGAAGAUUCAUAAGGACGUAGUUGACAGUGGUGAACUCUCCAACAUAUUCAUCUCUAACACUUUGAUUGACAUGUAUGCAAAGUGCGGGAGCAUGGCUGAGGCUCGGCAGCUGUUCGACAGCAUGAAGCACCGCGACGUAGUUUCAUGGACUGCAAUUGUCCAGGGAUAUGCAAACUCUGGGGAAGGGGAACUGGCUCUCAAGCUUUAUUCAAGAAUGCAAGAGGAGGGCCACAAAUCCAACAGAGUCAGCAUCCUGGCUGCGCUGAAAGCGUGUGCUAGUCUGGCAGAGAAAGAGGACAAUGAACUUCUCGGUGGCAAACAUCUCAAGGUGAAGUGCCUGGGAAGGGUCAGAGCUUUACACUCUCAAGUAACUGGCAACGAGGCCGAGCUGGACCUUUUCGUGGCGAACAGUCUGAUCGAUGUUUACUCGAAGUGUGGGAGCAUGGCAGAUGCUCAACAGGUUUUCGACAAAAUCCUGCAUCACAGUGUGGUCUCCUGGAACAGCCUUAUUCAAGGUUAUGCCGAAAGCGGACAGGGUGAACAGGCACUAGAGUGUUACGAACUUAUGCAACGUAGAGGCUUCAAAGCGGAUACAGUGACACUCGUAGCAGCGUUGAAGGCCUGUGCUUGUUUGGCAGAAGGAGAAGAGAGAAAUGGGAAGUUUGUCAACCUCCACAGAGUGAGAGCCAUUCACACUCUAGCGGCUAGCAACUGUUUGGUGGACGUUGUCCUGGCGAAUACUCUUGUUGAUUCUUAUGCGAAGUGUGGGAGCAUGGUGGAUGCUCGUCAAGUUUUUGAGAAAAUGGAGCAGCAUACCGUGGUUUCGUGGACAGUACUCAUUCUCGGGUAUGCUCAGAACGGGGAAGGCGAAGUGGCACUGGAACUUUAUGCUCGUAUGAAAGACGAAGGUUGUGCAGCCAACCUCGUGACAAUCCUGGCUGCUCUCAAAGCAUGCACAGGUGUUGCUGAGAAAGCGUUCUCUUCAGGAACAGUUGCCAGGACGGAGUGCAUUUGGAAAGGCAAGAGUAUCCAUGCUGAAGCUGCCAGAAUUAGCGUGGAGAUGAACCAGUCUGUGGCGAACACUCUGGUCGACAUGUACGCGAAAUGUGGCAGCUUGGAAGAUGCUCUUCGAGUUUUCCAGUUUAUGAGGCGUCACGACGUUGUCUCCUGGAACUGUCUCAUACUUGGUUUUGCCAAGUGUGGCAACGGAGACGCGGCUCUUGAGAUGUUCUCGUGCAUGAGGGACGAAGAUCAUCCUCCGGAUCGCAUUACUUUUAUUGCUGCUUUGAAGGCCUGUGCGAGCUCUGCUGAACAAGAAGAAGCCAAGCUCGUCGACGGGAGAGCUGUGAAGCAAGAGUGCUUACAACGAGGCAGGGCUAUUCAUAAGAGAGCUGCAGAGAGCCUGGACAUACUGGAUCCGGCAAUGCUCAACACGCUGGUGGACACGUACGCGAAGUGCGGAAGCAUGGGGGAUGCUCGGCAGGUGUUCGAGAGUAUGCAGGAAAGGAGCGUUGUUUCUUGGAACUGCAUAAUUCUGGGAUAUGCACAGGCAGGAGAGUCCGAGAUUGCUCUACAGCUUUAUGCAAAGAUGAGAGACGACGAAAACUCGUGUUUGCCAGACGCCGUGACUUUCACAGGUGCUUUCAAGGCUUGUGGUGCGCUGGGGGCGCUGGAAACAGGGAAGCAGAUCGAAGCCGACGUUCGUAGUGCCGGACUUGACACUGACACUAUGGUGCUGAACUCUCUCCUCGACUUUUACUGUAAGUGUGGGAGCAUGCUCGAGGCCGAGCGGGUGUUUAGCUCCGUUUCUGCGAAGACGCAAGUUACGUGGGCUGCACUGAUGGCUGGCUACAGCUCCAUCGGACAGACGCAGCGCGUUUUUCAGCUGUUCGAGGACAUGCAGCGGCAUCGAGUUCAACCUGACCAUGUUACGUUCCUCACACUUCUCAGCGCGUGCAGCCACGCGGGGCUUGUGGACAAGGGAAAGGAGUACUUCCAGGCAAUGAGCUCCAACAAGUUUGGAAUAAGUCCAAGCCGGCAGCAUUACUCGUGCAUGGUGGAUAUGUUGGGCCGGGCAAACCAGCUGGAUGAGGCCGUGACCAUGAUCCAGAGCAUGCCGGGCAAAGCAGACGUGGUGAUAUGGAUGGUGCUUUUGGCCGCUGCUGAGAAGUGGAAGAACGUGGAUGCUGGGAGGCUGGCUUUCGAGUCACUCAUGAAACUAGAUGCGAAGAAUGCGACGGCUUAUGUGCUAAUGUCCAACAUCUAUGCCGGUGCUGGAAUGCUCGAGGAACUGGUCCAGAUACAAGACAUGUACAGGCAAAGUCACCACUAGCGACCAAUGACGUUCCGGCUUACUUCCUUCGCCUACGAGGACCUUUUUCUUCGGAAUCAGACUCGACUUCCUUGACCAGCUGCUGCUUGUUCUCGUUCUCCUCCAUUCUCAGCUUCCGGAGAUCGCCUUCGAUGGUUCCUUCUUCCGGAAUCGACCUCGACUUAAGCAUUGCUACCACCUCAUGCAUCGUUGGCCGGUGCUCUGGCAAGUUCUGUGCGCACAAGGCGGCAACCUGGAUCAUCCUCGUCAGCUCUUCUCCGUCAUACUUCCCCUCCAGCUUGGGAUCCGCGAGCUCGUCGAAUCUUCGCUCCAUCACCAGCGGUGCGGCCCACUGGAUGAUGCUCCGCUUCUUGCCGGGACCAAUCUUCUCGAUCGGCUUUCUACCCGUCACCAGCUCCAGCAGCAGGAUUCCAAAGCUGUAGACGUCGCAGCUCUCCGAGACUUUCCCCCACAUUGCGUACUCAGGUGCUAGAUAUCCCAGCGUGCCUUUGACGCGGGUGGUGAGAUGAGUGACGCCGUCAGGGAUGAACUUGGCGAAGCCGAAGUCGGCAACCUGAGCUUGGAAGUUCGAGUCGAUGAGUAUGUUGCUGGCUUUCACAUCUCGGUGUAUGAUAUGUGGAUUGGCAGUGUGAUGCAAGUACCUGAGAGAGCCACACAGGAGAGAAGAAAAGAAGGUAUGCACGAAGCUGUAAGAGGUUUGAAAGAAACUUACGCUAAUCCUUCUGCAGAACCGAUGGCGAUUUCCACUCGCUUCCUCCAGUCGAGGAGCUUGUCCGACGAGAAGUGACCGUGGAGGUGCGACAGAAGGCUCAGGUUUGGCAUAUAGUCGUAGACGAUCAAUCUCUCCUCGCCCUCAGCGCAGUAGCCACGCAGCUUUAGCAGGUUUUUGUGAUGCAGCCGUCCCAACGUCUCAACUUCCACUGCGAAUGACAUCUCGUUGGUGGUGUUCAUCACUUUGAGCCUCUUGACGGCGAUCUGGAAACAUGAGGUAGGGAGAGAGACUCAAGGCUCUUCUUUUGCUGCUAAUCAAAGUUUUAUUUUUUCACCUCAGAUUUGUCGCCAAGCUGGCCGUAGAAGACGCUCCCAAAGCCCCCCUCGCCGAGCUUAUUCUCAUAGCUGAAGUUGUUCGUGGCGAAUUGCAGCUCCUUCAAGCUAAAAAUCUUCCACGUCCUGGCGCUCUCGUCGUCGUCCCUGGACAAAAGCCCCUCACGGGUAUGAAUUCUGCUGGCCGGCACAGAAUCAAUCAAUCCCUUUACUCACUUCAUACUCCUUCCAGCGUAGCAGCAUCCGGAGCUCAGCCUUUUGGUUACCCAAGACAUAUUCAUUCGCAACUUCAUCACUCGCUUGCAACGACUGAUGCUGAUGAUCAUAUCCAUCGUCUCCUCGCCGUCAUCACCAUCGCAACAGAAGAUGAGAGCCAAGUCAAUACAGCGCUUUGUGCAUAGUGCAACAUACCAAGGGCCACAGCUGGCCGGGUGCUACACAAGGAACAGUCGAGCGAACGCUAUGAGCUCUACCACCAUUAAACUAAUCGGAUACUUCCAAGGAACAGGUUUGCUAAGACCGAUGCUUUGUUUUGUGUCGCUUUUGAUUGUUCCCCUGGAUCUCACCACCGCUUUCGUGCAGUAUUCUCGCUUCUUUUCUGGCCAAGGAUGUGCAUAAAACAUCCAGGGGGAGCUCGUCGCAGGAUCAGCGAAAGAAAUAUAGAGCGCGGACAAAACUUUUGGUAAUUUAGCGGCGCUUAGACGAUCUUAACAGGAUCGAACACGUCCUUCCUGUCCUCGACCCAGGGAUCUCGCAGGUACGCAGUGGCAAAGUUGCAAUCUAGAAAAUCUAGAAGACGAAGACUCUCUUCGUCGAGUUUCUUCCUUGCAAGUUUGGAAAAGCUACUUGAUCCUCUGCGUUGAUGGGUUUGGUGUUCUCUUCUCUCAAGGUAAUGCUCUUUAUAUCUUUUAGAGUGUUCUUCUAUUGUAUCUUUCAAAUACAGAUGGAAGAAAACAAGUAAAGCUAAAACAAAAGACUUAAAAAAAGAUGAGUUAUUAGAACAAUUUCUCUACAAAUAUUCAAUACACAAACCAGAAAAAAAAUUCAUUCACCCUCAGAAUUGAGAAUCGGUCUCACCAGAGGAUGCAUUUGUGCCAUGUACACAAUAGCCCACCUAGAAAAAAAAAAAAAACCAAAGCUCCCAUCCAGAAUGAAAAAAAAAAAAAGAGAGAGAGAAAGGCAAGAAGAACUUACAAGAGCCAGCAGCAAAUUGCAGCAACAAUCACCAAUGUGAUGUGUAACCUAGGUGGGAGUGUGAGUGAGAUUUUGGCCAAGAGGUUCCAAUCUAGAAAUCUUCUUACAGAUUUGCGGAAGGCCCCUUGUUGAAGAGGACGCGGACACUCACAGAUCCGAGCAGCGCCGCAACGAGGAAGACAAGGCUCGUCUCCGCGAAAUUCAUCCUGCAAGAUAGGGAAUAGAACAAACCCUAAAAUGUAAGCUUUUGUCUUUGUCUCACUUCGUUUGAAUUCGUUUGACUUUGCACGCCAUUUUAGAAAACCUGUAGUGCACAAAACUCACUACGUACUAGUCUAUAAACUCACUUCAGGGUCAAACUCAGGGUUCACUUCCAUAUCUUCAUUUAAUACCAUUUCUUCCUUUUCUUCUUCUUCUUCUCUACAAGAGGGUGACGCAGUGGAGGAAGUGCUCAUUUGAACAGUCUUCCCAUAGGAAGUUAUUGUGGCUCUUGGUUUCAUAUGACUUAUGUGAACUGGGAUGUUGUUUGAUAUUGCUCAAAAUGCAGACUUGGAAUGGUGGGACUAUUUAAAAGCACAAAACGCUAUUAUAUUUGGUGUCUAAUAUGUUUUUUUUUUUUGGACAAAACUCAAGCAACAGAUGUAACUCUCCAACAGGAUACAAAAGUCAAUGAAAGCUAUCCGUUGCUUCUUGUGUCUGCAACCACAGUCCACACUCUUCUCUCCAUCAAACAGCUCUCUUGCCGCCUUUUCCCCCUUGGGAUGACAAUAGCAGCGACUGUUAUUACAAAGACCACCACAACGUUUUCAGUCACAUAGUAAACAUAGGCUCCAAUGCGAUUGAACUCUCUCCAGAUGAACAGUACCCUUCAAUACGUUGUCUCGUCAGUUUCCCCGAGAAGAUGUCCACCGCGUCAAGAUCCGCAACCACGUCCACACACGGGAGCCUGGGCUUCAGCAACUUCAAAACCGAGAGAGUAGCACUCAUCGCAUUCCAACCAACGCGUGACAGGUUGUCGUCCUUGGCAAUAACCUGCAUGAAUUCACCAACAAAUCUUUAUGGAGUGAUAAAUCUUGCGCGCCCAACCCCGAGGACAUAGCAAUGCAAAGAAGGUGUAACAUACUUAGCCUCACCGACUCGAUAGAAAACUUUGCCGUCAAGAGCAUCUGAAAGUGGCUGGAUUUCUCCUCCUGCCAUAGCAGAAAGAAGGCUACGCAUCUUGACAGCACGGAUAUAUUUGAACAAGUUGUUUCCCAAGCGGGCGAUGGAAGCCCUCAGGCAUGUCCUCCUGGUAAGGUACAGCUUGACAAGCCUUGGUACCCAUCCAGUUCUUUUGCAGAUUUUACGUGCCACCGCGAGAGGCAACCUUGCAAACUUCGUCUUCCUAAAGCCAAGGUUUUAGAGAUUGUUAGCAUGAAGGCAAACUUACAGUGAAUCCUCCAGCUCCAACGAGAUAGGCUGCUGCGUCUUUAAGUAACCUGCUUCGAGCGGACGCACAAAUGAUACUUACACGUUCCUUCUCUAGAGUUUUAGAAGGAAGCGGAAGGCAGCUUCUUUCUCACGCCCCGUUUCAUCUGUGUCGCCGUCUUCUCCGUCCAAAGCAUUACCGUCGUCGAGGAUAAUGGUCACCGUCUCAGUCCUACGGACCAAAAAUCUAGUAAACUCUCUCUCGUUCGAGCAAUCCAUGUCGUCAAAGCUUCCGGAUCUUUGAGGUAAGCCAUGACCAGUCCCGUGAAUAGCACGUCAAAAUCGUCACCCCACAGUAACAAGAAGCGUUGGCUUGAAACAUCGAGCUUCCUGCCGAAGUGGAGAAAGAAAAACUUAGCAACAACAACAGAGAAAAUGCAGCUCAUUACUUCUUGCCCUUCUUGUCCUCCGUUGGUGAUGAAGAUUCUUCAAUGGCCUUGAUGCUUCAAAGAUACAAGUAACGUACCGCAGUGUUGAGGUUGACAGUCGGGGUGAAGACACUCUAGUAUAAAAGAGGUGGAGUAGUGAGCCUGAAAGAAUGGUGCUUGCAUCCUUCGAGUUGACUCGCUGACCCUUGACCACUUGACCGCCCUGGUGACCGGAUAGCGCUGGGCGCCCAAGGAGGCCCGAUAAUCUUUUAUCACAGAGGACUAUGGUGGAUCACCUUGGAUCUAAGAACGAAGCUCUAGCAUCGAAAAAACAAGAUAAAUCAAGUCGCUCGAGCUAUACUGCAAAAAAGCAAAGAAAGAAAAAGACGAGGAGUCUCUUCUUCGAUCACAGCACCUCGUCCUCCUCUUUUCUCUCCUUCCUGGCCAACAAUUGCGCGUUGAGGAUCUCGUUCCACACGUCUGGAACACCCGGCAAGCACCAGUGCAAGCAGUCCUGGAUCCCCGGCCUGGCAUUCGCAGUGAAUCGCGAGAGGUGAGCUUCUCCCCGGAACUGCGACAGGUGCGUGAUGUUCAACAGCUCCACCCUGGUGUUGGCCACCGCUUCCUCGGACAGCACGUCCCUCGACGGCCUGUUUGAGACGUCCACCCCGAAAGCUUUGAUGUUGUCGCAGCGCCCACCCGAGUUCCAGUCCCCGUUCAUGAAGUGCCUGGGCGAGAGAGCCGUGAGAACGCCUCGGAGCUCCGGCCUAGCACCGAUCUGCCUGUCCAGCCACCUCACCACCUUCUUCACCGCAAACUGGUGCGAGUAGCUCACCGAUGCGAAGCGGGAGCCUUUGAGCGCCACCUUCUUCCCACCAACGUACAUCUCCCACUUGUUCCCGUUUAUCUUCCCCGAGUUCCAGUGGUGUCCCGUGUUGAGGAUCACCAGAUCCAUCCGAGCUACGUUCCUCUUGAGGAAAUCCACCGGCCUGUCCAGAUGCAUCGCCGCAGCCGAGCUCGGAUCGGUCACGUUGUAGAGCUUGAUCUUGCAGAGACUAGCCGACCAGUAGAAGAGGAUGGUGGUGUUCGUUUCCGUGAACCUGUAUGCCCAGCCAUUUGGUCGGAGAGACCAUGUAGGCCGCUUGUCGAAACCAUACUCCUGUCCAGCAUCGGUCGCUACCAUGUCGUCUUUGCCUCGCGUUAUCAUGCACAAAAGUGACUGAAACUGUUGCCGGCCCAGAGAAUCCCCCACGAAAGCGAUUGUUUUGUUCUUCCAUCUGUUAUCGGAUGAUGUUUAUUAUUAGUAGAAGAACACACUUAGAGAAGCAUUUUUACCUUGAGAGAAAAGCCCGGCCAUCAAAAGGCGGAAGAUCACAUCCUUGAGGUUGCCAUCUAUACUUCUCGUAAUCGAAGUCCUUCCUUCCCUGCACCUUGCAGGCCCACAUCGAGGAAAGAAACUGCGAGCACAUUUCGCCCGAGUAAAGUGGUCUGUUCGAGUCGUUCAACCAUUUUCCCUUUGAGUAAUCACACUGUGGAACUGAAACAAUGAAUAGUUUAGAGACAAGAUGAAAGAAAAACAAAUUAAGUAGUUCAGUACCUUGCUUGUAAACUUCCCUAACAGGAGACGCUUUCCUUGUAGCAAGCUCUGGGAAAAAGUAAACAGCCAAACUUUAGAAAAAGAAACAAUCGCUAGAACCGAAAACAUUCUAUAAGAUCUAGGAGGGUUUUUUUUUUUGUUUUGUUUUGCGGUUCUAGAUUUUUAAAUUCGAGGUAGAGAGAUUUGCUCGACCUGAAACCGUGCUAUUUAGCAACUCCAUGAUGCUGCCAUCGUGCGAGACAGCAAUCGAUUUGGAGAAUCUAGAUAGAUCGAGUGCCCCCGCAAACAAAGCUACAUUCAUGAAUGCCAGUAAAGGAAAAAAAUCUAAAGAAUGCUCAGCCUAGAAUCCAAAAAGCUGGACAAAACGUACCAAGUUCCAGGCGAAGCCCCGGCCCCCAUGCUCUCGAUCCGAGCACACUCGCUGCCGGCGAUCCCUCCCACCCGAAAACCACGAUGAAUCCACACAGCACCGCGAGCAUGAGGACAAGCGCGCGCCUCGCUCGCAUCCCAUACAAGAUCGCUCCUCCUCCGCCGCCUCCUCCCGCCUUGAAAUGCUGAUCGGAAUCCCUCUUUCUCAGCUUCUCGCCCGGGAUCAGCACCAUGAUCGCCAAGAACCUCAUCGCUGCCGAUAAUCCGCCAUCGCUUGCGCGAAAUCUUCGCCCGCGCCACAAACCCUAGCUACGACAACAAAGAAGCCCAGACCCAAGGCAAACCAACGCAACAACUGAAGCUCAUGAGACAGGUAAACCAUCAAUAUUUUUACUCGCUACGCGUUCCAGCCAUUAACUGUAGAACGGUAAGAUUUUGCAAUCACGUACUAUACGAAUAUUCUCUGCCACCUGUUUCCUAACGGCCGGAUUCGUAGGGUAAAAUGGAAAUAUCCAUACGAAUAUUCAUUCUACCUGUCGUGUAACGGCCGGUUACCGGUUCAGCCGGUUUGCGCGAGGCAUAUUCUAAUGCCGUGUUCUUCGCGUUUAGGGUUUUGUUUCGAGGGGGCGAUGGAGAGGAGGGAUUCGCUGCUGGUCAUGGCGCUGAUUUUUGUACUGUGCUUCGUCGUCAUGGCAGUGCGUAUGCCAGUUCCUCCUUCAUCGGUCACAGGUUUGUGGAUCUUGCUCGAUAUUUCGCGGAAUUUUUUUGAUUUUGCUAGUGCUAGACGGCGCCGAGGCCAGGAGCGAUGUUACCAGGAGCCACAUCUUAGCUGAGAUGGAGAAAUUGCGGAUCCAGGGCAAGAAGUACACGCCGCGAUACUACAAGCCGGGCGCAUUCGCUGCUAAUGCCGCCAGUGGCAAGCAAGGGAUCCGGCGACGCAAAUCUUCUUCUUCUCCAGCAGAAUAAAAUUCCGGGUGAGCCGAUCGCCUGCAUUGCACCAUCGUGUAGAUAUAUGACCGCUGCAUCCAUGUAUAAUAUUUUUCUUUCUAAGUCUUUGAUGGAGGAUUGGUGACACCGAUCUUCUCACUUUUGGAUUCUCUUUAGAAAUUUUUGCUAGGAUAGGUAGGGUGCAUCUCUUUCACUGCGAGCUUCCUAGCGCUUGCCGUGAUUCUUUUCUAGUGAAAGAGUACAAGCAUUUUCUACUGCCUGUCAUCUUCAAGCUGCUACAGGCACAGCCAUCACUGACUCGUUUUCCAGCGCUGGCCUUUUCACGACUUUGGCAGAAGACCAGAGAUCAAGGAUCACGUACAGGGGACUACCGACCAAGAGUACUGCGAGCUGGAUCCAGACUUGAAGUGCGAUC
rnacentral:lncRNA from 1 species